rnacentral:rRNA from 1 species
AGUGAACGCUGGCGGUAGGCCUAACACAUGCCAGUCGAACGGCAGCACAGUAAGAGCUUGCUCUUACGGGUGGCGAGUGGCGGACGGGUGAGGAAUACAUCGGAAUCUACUUUUUCGUGGGGGAUAACGUAGGGAAACUUACGCUAAUACCGCAUACGACCUACGGGUGAAAGCAGGGGAUCUUCGGACCUUGCGCGAUUGAAUGAGCCGAUGUCGGAUUAGCUAGUUGGCGGGGUAAAGGCCCACCAAGGCGACGAUCCGUAGCUGGUCUGAGAGGAUGAUCAGCCACACUGGAACCGAGACACGGUCCAGACUCCUACGGGAGGCAGCAGUGGGGAAUAUUGGACAAUGGGCGCAAGCCUGAUCCAGCCAUACCGCGUGGGUGAAGAAGGCCUUCGGGUUGUAAAGCCCUUUUGUUGGGAAAGAAAAGCAGCAGGUUAAUACCCCGCUGUUCUGACGGUACCCAAAGAAUAAGCACCGGCUAACCUCGU